rnacentral:rRNA from 1 species
AAGAGUGCGUAAUAGCUCACUAGUCGAGUGACGCUGCGCCGAAAAUGUACCGGGGCUAAACGUAUCACCGAAGCUGUGGAUUGACAUCUAUGAUGUCAGUGGUAGGAGAGCGUUCUAAGGGCGUUGAAGCUAGACCGUAAGGACUGGUGGAGCGCUUAGAAGUGAGAAUGCCGGUAUGAGUAGCGAAAGAUGAGUGAGAAUCUCAUCCACCGAAUGCCUAAGGUUUCCUGAGGAAGGCUCGUCCGCUCAGGGUUAGUCGGGACCUAAGCCGAGGCUGAAAAGCGUAGGCGAUGGACAACAGGUUGAUAUUCCUGUACCACCUUUAAAUCGUUUGAGCAAUGGGGGGACGCAGGAGGAUAGGGUAAGCGUGCUGUUGGAUUAGCACGUCCAAGCAGUUAGGCUGGUAAUGAGGCAAAUCCCAUUACCACAUAAGCGGAGCUGUGACGGCGAGGGAAAUAUAGUACCGAAGUUCCUGAUUCCACACUG